GAUGAACGCUGGCGGCGUGCUUAACACAUGCAAGUCGAACGGGAAUUACUUUAUUGAAACUUCGGUCGAUUUAAUUUAAUUCUAGUGGCGGACGGGUGAGUAACGCGUGGGUAACCUGCCUUAUACAGGGGGAUAACAGUCAGAAAUGGCUGCUAAUACCGCAUAAGCGCACAGAGCUGCAUGGCUCGGUGUGAAAAACUCCGGUGGUAUAAGAUGGACCCGCGUUGGAUUAGCUUGUUGGUGGGGUAACGGCCCACCAAGGCGACGAUCCAUAGCCGGCCUGAGAGGGUGAACGGCCACAUUGGGACUGAGACACGGCCCAGACUCCUACGGGAGGCAGCAGUGGGGAAUAUUGCACAAUGGGGGAAACCCUGAUGCAGCGACGCCGCGUGAAGGAAGAAGUAUCUCGGUAUGUAAACUUCUAUCAGCAGGGAAGAUAGUGACGGUACCUGACUAAGAAGCCCCGGCUAACUACGU
rnacentral:rRNA from 1 species